GGCCGCAGUAUAUUGACUGUGCAAAGGUAGCAUAAUAAUUAGUCUUUUAAUUGAAGGCUGGUAUGAAUGGUUGAACAAAUAUUAACUGUUUCAUAAGUAUUUAAAUUAGAAUUUUAUUUUUUAGUCAAAAAGCUAAAAUGUAUUUAAAAGACGAGAAGACCCUAUAAAUCUUUAUAAUUUAAUUAUUAAAAAUUUUUAGAAUUAUUUAAUUAUAAUAAUAAGUAUUAUUUUAUUGGGGUGAUAUUAAAAUUUAAUUAACUUUUAAUUUUUAAAUUCAUUAAUUUAUGUUUAAUUGAUCCAUUAUUAAUGAUUAAAAAAUUAAGUUACUUUAGGGAUAACAGCGUAAUUUUUUUGGAGAGUUCAUAUCAAUAAAAAAGAUUGCGACCUCGAUGUUGGAUU
rnacentral:rRNA from 1 species